AUCCCGUUUUCUUGCUGGCAGCACAGCCUGCUCCAAUUAGAAAACAAGAUCUGAAACAAGGCCUGGAGUCGGUCUGUCCCCUGCUGUGUCAGUGGCACUGUUGCUGCUUUUGUGCAUGAAUGUUGGAACUCAAGUCUUUGAGCUAUGAGUUACUCAUGCACAGGUGGAGUUGGUGCAUGCACAUCCCUGGGCUUCAGGCACAGCUUCGUGAGAUCAUAUGAAUUCCUGUAUACAAAACCCAGGCAGUGCAGAGCUGGGAGUAGCAGUUGAUUCACUGGAGGGCCAUGCUGCCAUUCAGAAAGACCUCGACAGGCUGGAGAAAUGAGCCCACAGGAACCUCCGUCAGCUCAACAAAAGGAAAUGCCAAAUCCUAAACCAGGGGAGGAACAAACCCAGGCACUACUACAGGAUGGGGAACCCCCAGCGGGAAGACAGCUGGAAGAGGAAAGACCUUAGGAUCUUGGUGGAUGCCAAGUUGAACAGGAGCCAGCAGUGUGCCUUUGUGGCACAUCCUCAGCAUUAGAGGAAUUGUUGCCAGCAGGUGGAGGGAGAUGAUCCUCUUUCCACUCAGCUCUGGUGAGAUGCAGCUGGGCUCCCAGUACAGGAGGCACAUGGACACUCUGAAAUGUGCCAAAUGAAGGAUCAAGAGCAGCAUGAAGAUUGGAUCAUUUAGCUUAUGAGAAGAGGCUGAGAGAGCUGGAGUUAUUUAGACUGGAGUAGGGAAGGCUGGAGUUAGUGGAGGACUUAUCAAUGGGCACAAAAUAAAACACAGGAAAUUCCAUUUCGAAAUAGAAAAUCCCUUACUGUAGUGGUCAAACACCAGAAUAGGUUGCUCAGAGAAACUCUGGAGACUCUACUCUUGGGAAUAUUAAAAACCCUACCAGAUGUGGUACUGAGCAGAGUGUUUGGACUAGACAGUCUGCAGAGCACCCUUCUGACCUCAGUGGUUCUGUGAUUUUAUUCCCAGUUUUAUUCCCAGUUUACAGCCAGUUGUUAACAUCAAAUAAAUUACUCAGCUACCAAUGAGUUGAAAUGACCCGCUAAAGAACUAAACUGAUUCUGUUUAGAGUGAAGGCCUACUGGACUGGAGUGGAUUAGUUGAGCCAGACAGGUCUGUCAACUGGAUAAACUGUCUUCUUCCUUUUACUCUGAGCUCCUCCCUUUGGCACACUCUGAGCAAUAGAACCUGUGAAAGCCAGUAUCCAGAGUUUAUGGUCUCUAGGUCUAGGAACUGUUUUUGUUAUAUGAAUAACAAAUGGAAGAGUGAGGCUGUAGCAAGAUCUUGGUAUAUCAGGUCAGAAUCUCUUCAGUUAUCAAGCAAUAUCUUAUUCUCUGGCUUUGGCUGGAGUGAGCACAUUUUUUUAGGGUUCAUGCCACAAGGUGUAGAGAACUGGCUACAGAUAUCAAUUUAAGCUAUUUUAUGGAAG
ensembl:lncRNA